CGGUAGAGUCUCUUCGGAGACUUGAGAGCGGCGUACGGGUGCGGAACACGUGUGCAACCUGCCUUUAUCAGGGGGAUAGCCUUUCGAAAGGAAGAUUAAUACUCCAUAAUAUAAUUUACGGCAUCGUGAAUUAUUGAAAACUCCGGUGGAUAGAGAUGGGCACGCGCAAGAUUAGAUAGUUGGUGAGGUAACGGCUCACCAAGUCGAUGAUCUUUAGGGGGCCUGAGAGGGUGAUCCCCCACACUGGUACUGAGACACGGACCAGACUCCUACGGGAGGCAGCAGUGAGGAAUAUUGGACAAUGGGUUAGCGCCUGAUCCAGCCAUCCCGCGUGAAGGACGACGGCCCUAUGGGUUGUAAACUUCUUUUGUACAGGGAUAAACCUGUCUACGUGUAGAUAGCUGAAGGUACUGUACGAAUAAGCACCGGCUAACUCCGUGCCAGCAGCCGCGGUAAUACGGAGGGUGCAAGCGUUAUCCGGAUUUAUUGGGUUUAAAGGGUCCGUAGGCGGAUGCGUAAGUCAGUGGUGAAAUCUCACAGCUCAACUGUGAAACUGCCAUUGAUACUGCGUGUCUUGAGUAAGGUAGAAGUGGCUGGAAUAAGUAGUGUAGCGGUGAAAUGCAUAGAUAUUACUUAGAACACCAAUUGCGAAGGCAGGUCACUAUGUCUUAACUGACGCUGAUGGACG
rnacentral:rRNA from 1 species